rnacentral:rRNA from 1 species
GAACUUUCAACAACGGAUCUCUUGGCUCUCGUAUCGAUGAAGAACGCAGCGAAAUGCGAUAAGUAAUGUGAAUUGCAGAAUUCAGUGAAUCAUCGAAUCUUUGAACGCACCUUGCGCCUUUUGGUAUUCCGAAAGGCAUGCCUGUUUGAGUGUCAUGGAA